AUGGACAGUCGAGGUCUAGCGCGUAUUAACACUACUAUCCUGGUGCUCAUUCCUAAGAAACAGGGGGCGGACACGCUACAAGAGUUCAGGCCAAUCUCACUCCUUCACAGUUUGAUCAAAAUCUUCUCUAAAAUCCUAGUGAGUAGGCUGGCCCCUAAGCUAGGUGAUCUGGUCGAUCAAUGUCAAAGUGCGUUUAUCAAAAAACGCAGCAUCCAAGAAAAUUUCUUGUACAUUCAGAACACUAUUAAGAGGCUA
rnacentral:rRNA from 1 species